AAAAAUUCCAAUAAAAAGUUAAAAUGAACCAAUAAAAAUUCCAAUAAACUGGUAAAUCUGUGUUCAUUGAUUAUUAUAUUUUUUUAGUUAACGGGCUAGUCUGUAUACCCUUAAUUAGAAAUCUAUAAAACUGAUAAACCUAUACAUAUUUAUUGGACAUUCCAAGGAACCAGUUUAUUUUUUAUGGUUUAGUUAUUAGUACCAGGUGUUUGCCCGUAAUUUUGCGGGUAAUUAUAUUAUAAGUUUUAUAUAUUAUGUUUACAUUGUUAUAGUUUUUGAAUAAUAAUUGAAAUUUUAAAAUUUUAACUUUUAAUUUCAAAUACUUGGAUAAUCAAAAAUUUCUGUAUAUAUUUUUAGAAGAUUUGUGAGAUUUAAAAUAGUUCAACAACGUAAACCUUAAUCAUUACAAAUAUUUCUCUUACAGAAAAGUAAUAUUAUAGUAAUUCAAAUAAUUUGUUUUAGAAUUACUUUAUAUUUUAUUUUAACACGUGAAAAAACCGAGAAUACUCUAGCUUUCAAGAAAUAAAAAAAUAGAGUUUUUUUUUUGCAUAAGAUUUUUAGAAAACAUAAAAAGUUCUAAUAAUUCUUUACCUACAAAUCUAAUUCUUUUAUAUAAGCAUAUAUAACCAUUAAAUUUCUUUCAAUAAAUAUAUAAGAUUCCACUACUGAAGUAGUUUUUGGAAGUAAAAUGACAGCACUAACCCUAACAACACUCACCUUUUGUGGCGUGUGAAAAGCACAAUAUCUCUUUUGUUCUUCUUUUAUUUACAGCCAUACCUUUUUUUAUAAAUAAAAUUGUUUUCUUCUUCUUUAUCUCUUUCAUCACCUUCUUUUCUCUUUUUCUAUGUCGAUAAAGUGGUUUUGGAUCAAAUUAUACUGAUUUGAAACAAAGAAACAAAAAAUCUAAGCGUGCAUACACCUCUCUCAUGUUCUGAUGGUGGGUUUUUCUGAAUCAAAGUCUUGAUUCGUUGGUCUAUCUUAUUCUUCUCCACCUCUACCUUCAUCCUCCACAAGAAUAACCACCAGAGAAAUAUCAUAAAAACGAGCUGUAGCCAUAAGUACAAAUGAAGGCAAAGGGAAAGUGGCUAAGAAACCCGAUGUAUCUCCACCUCCUGCUCAAUCUCCGUCUCAGCCGCAGAUGAAGCUAGAUGAUGUAAAUCCGGAGAGAUUGGAACUAAGUUGACGGCAGUUUGGCGAGACUUGGCAUGGAGUCAAAGACAAGAAGCUAUUCAUGUGUAUGCCUCGUGUAAGUUGUCCAUGUGUACGCCUUGUGUAAAUUGUCCAUGUGGACAUCUCAGUUGUCCAUGCGAACAACAUUUGGUGGGAAUGUCUUGUACUAAGUAAUAUUCUUAUGAUUUUUUUUAUUGUGAAAGCCAUGUAUAAAAAAUAUCAAAUGUUGCAUUGCUCGUA